rnacentral:miRNA from 1 species
AUUACAUGGGGAUAUCGUUAGAAUGUAGAUUCUGAUUCAGUAAGUCUGGAAUGGGGUCUGAGAUUCUGCAUUUCUAACAAGGUCCCAGGUGAUUCAAAU